rnacentral:rRNA from 1 species
UACGUAGGGGGCAAGCGUUGUCCGGAAUCAUUGGGCGUAAAGAGCGUGUAGGCGGUUCGGUAAGUCGGCUGUGAAAGUCCAGGGCUCAACCCUGGGAUGCCGGUCGAUACUGCUGGACUAGAGUUCGGAAGAGGCGAGUGGAAUUCCCGGUGUAGCGGUGAAAUGCGCAGAUAUCGGGAGGAACACCUAUGGCGAAGGCAGCUCGCUGGGACGUUACUGACGCUGAGACGCGAAAGCGUGGGGAGCAAACAGG